GGUAGUGAGUUAUCUCAAUUGAUUGUUC
rnacentral:piRNA from 1 species